GACGAACGCUGGCGGCGUGCUUAACACAUGCAAGUCGAACGUGAUUUUUGUGGAAAUUCUUUCGGGAAUGGAAAUGAAAUGAAAGUGGCGAACGGGUGAGUAACACGUGAGCAACCUACCUUACACAGGGGGAUAGCCGUUGGAAACGACGAUUAAUACCGCAUGAGACCACAGAAUCGCAUGAUAAAGGGGUCAAAGAUUUAUCGGUGUAAGAAGGGCUCGCGUCUGAUUAGCUAGUUGGAAGGGUAAAGGCCUACCAAGGCGACGAUCAGUAGCCGGUCUGAGAGGAUGAACGGCCACAUUGGAACUGAGACACGGUCCAAACUCCUACGGGAGGCAGCAGUGGGGAAUAUUGCACAAUGGGGGGAACCCUGAUGCAGCGACGCCGCGUGAGCGAAGAAGGUUUUCGAAUCGUAAAGCUCUGUCCUAUGAGAAGAUAAUGACGGUAUCAUAGGAGGAAGCCCCGGCUAAAUACGUG
rnacentral:rRNA from 1 species